rnacentral:lncRNA from 1 species
CAGAAAAAGCUGGGAAAACAUGAGCACGAAAGACUACAGAAUAGCAUUUGUUCAAAGAAGCUACCACAGAGCAAACACAUAGCAGCCGACAAGUUAUGUUGGGCCCCAUCAGAAAUAAAGAUCUCUGGGCUUGCUAUUGGUGUUGCAGCUGAUGAGAUAUGAAAGCCUUGUGAGUCUGAGUGAGGGUUCAGCCUGGCCAAAAGGCUGGAGAAGACCAGAAGGUGUUGGAAGAGAGAGGAAAGAUGUGGCUACCAGAGAGAGAAAACCCAUGCAGGAAGACUUCAUGAUGUGCAAAUUGGUCAUCAUCUUCUUCCCUGCCUAAAACUUUAUGGACAUUUUAUUACUCAUCAAACCUUUCAAGGUUGGAUAUUUGGGAUGAUAGGGUAAAGUUACCACAUGCUAGGUUUAACCUGAAGAUGGGCAAAACACAAGAACAGACACGUGGUACAGUAUGGUGAGGCCAGUGGAUCAGGAGAAGACUGCCAUAGAAAAGAUAGUUGUUACUCAUAGUUCCCAAGAGGAGGGAGAACAACCCACCACCGAGGUCCACAUGAGGAAGCACCAGGGCCAAUGAGAAGGCAGAGGAAGCAGGAGGAAAAUGUGGGUAAGAGCUUUUGUUUUGGCUUUCAUGGGAAGAAAUGGGCAGUGCACCCACAGGCUGAACAUGAGGAUUUUACUUGUUAAAGACUCAGCGCCAACAAUCACCCUACUACUGUUGUAGCUAUUAAGAAAUGUUACAAAAAGAGCAAGACUGGCUCUUUCAGGGUUCACAGUGAAAUGCUUUAGUAUUCCUUCAUCCUGUGCAUUCUCUGUUGAAUUUGCUCCAUGUGGAGGCCUCCAAUUAGCAUAAUACAGGAUGCUAUUUUCCAUUCAUAUCUAUGAACAAAGGCAGAACCUGGUUCUUCAGAUUUAAAUUUUGCUGCCUCUGCUGAC